rnacentral:misc_RNA from 1 species
AGCAGCCGCGGUAAUUCCAGCUCCAAUAGCGUAUAUUAAAGUUGUUGCAGUUAAAAAGCUCGUAGUUGAAUUUCGGGAUUGACACAUCGGUCGUGCCUUAAGGGGUAUGAACUGGUGUAGUCAAUUUCUCACCUUCUGGAGAACCGCGAUGCCCUUAAUUGGGUGUCGCGGGGAACCAGGACCUUUACUUUGAAAAAAUUAGAGUGUUUAAAGCAGGCAUUUUGCUUGAAUACAUUAGCAUGGAAUAAUAAAAUAGGACGGCAUGAUUCUAUUUUGUUGGUUUCUAGGAUCACCGUAAUGAUUAAUAGGGAUAGUUGGGGGCAUUAGUAUUCAAUUGUCAGAGGUGAAAUUCUUGGAUUUAUUGAAGACUAACUACUGCGAAAGCAUUUGCCAAGGAUGUUUUCAUUAAUCAAGAACGAAAGUUAGGGGAUCGAAGACGAUCAGAUACCGUCGUAGUCCUAACCAUAAACUAUGCCGACUAGGGAUCGGAUGAUGUUAAUUUUUUAAUGACUCAUUCGGC